rnacentral:tRNA from 1 species
AUAGUUCAGUGUUGGAGCGCUUGCCUAGAAUGCAUGAGGUCUUGGGUUAGAUCCCCAAU